rnacentral:rRNA from 1 species
AUUGAACGCUGGCGGCAUGCUUUACACAUGCAAGUCGAACGGCAGCACGGGUGCUUGCACCUGGUGGCGAGUGGCGGACGGGUGAGUAAUACAUCGGAACGUAUCCAGAAGAGGGGGAUAACGCAUCGAAAGAUGUGCUAAUACCGCAUAUUCUCUGAGGAGGAAAGCAGGGGCUCGCAAGACCUUGCGCUUUUGGAGCGGCCGAUGUCUGAUUAGCUAGUUGGUGGGGUAAAGGCCUACCAAGGCGACGAUCAGUAGUUGGUCUGAGAGGACGACCAGCCACACUGGGACUGAGACACGGCCCAGACUCCUACGGGAGGCAGCAGUGGGGAAUUUUGGACAAUGGGCGCAAGCCUGACGCAGCGACGCCGCGUGGGGGAUGAAGGUUUUCGGAUUGUAAACCCCUUUCAUGAGGAAAGAUAAAGUGGGUAACCACUUAGACGGUACCUCAAGAAGAAGCCACGGCUAACUUCGUGCCAGCAGCCGCGG